GACGAACGCUGGCGGCGUGCCUAAUACAUGCAAGUAGGACGCAGUUGCGAACGGGUGAGUAACGCGUCGGUAACUGCGUGUUAGAGGGGGAUAAAUAUUGGAAACGAUAGCCAAUAGCGCAUACUAGCAGAUGGACCUGCGUUGUAUUAGCUAGUAGGUAGGGUAAUGGCCUACCUAGGCUACGAUACAUAGCCGACCUGAGAGGGUGAUCGGCCACACUGGGACUGAGACACGGCCCAGACUCCUACGGGAGGCAGCAGUAGGGAAUCUUCGGCAAUGGGGGGAACCCUGACCGAGCAACGCCGCGUGAGUGAAGAAGGUUUUCGGAUCGUAAAGCUCUGUUGUUAAGGAAGCGGUACCUAACCAGAAAGGGACGGCUAACUACGUGCCAGCAGCCGCGGUAAUUC
rnacentral:rRNA from 1 species